UUUUCUCCCAAGCUGUUGAGGCACAGCCUCUUCUGCGUUUCUGUCAGGUGUGUGUGUAUUCCAGGGUAGAUGGCCCUUCAGCUUUCUGGCGAUUACAAAGGCAUGGGGCUGUAGAUAAAACUCAUGGGCUGUAACGCAGAUGAUCAGCCUUGUGUAGACAGCACUUUUACCUGCAGAGCUGUCUUGCUGCAUUCUGGAUGGUACUCAGAGUCUUUUUCUUCACACGUGCUUCAGAGGAUCAAGUCCAGAGCCUUGCAUACGCCAGGGCAAGCGCUCUGCCAGUCCCGAGGGAUUUUAAAUAUGGAAGCAUCUCAUCUACUUAUAGGGAAGGAAGAACCUCUCAAGAUGUCUUCCAGUAACGACCCCACUGUAAUCCCAAUGACAGAAAGACGUCACGGUGACCUUCCCAAAACAAACACCAGUGACCCGGAGACACUGACUGAAGAGGCUGUGUUGAGUUUCCACAACAUCAGCUACAGAGAAACAGUGCAGAGCGGCUUUCCACUUCGUCAGCAGACACGUGUGAUAGAAAGACUGUCGAGCAUCAGUGGUAUCAUGGGACCUGGCCUCAAUGCCAUUAUGGGACCUCAGGAUGGGAGCAGAUCUCUGUUAUUAGAUGUCUUAGCUGCAAGGAGAGAUCCAAGUGGAUUAUCAGGAGAUAUUUUGGUAAACGGUAAACCUCGACCUGCUAAUUUCAAAUGUACAUCUGGUUAUGUACCACAAAAUGAUGUGGUGAUGAACACAGUGACCGUGAGAGACAAUUUAGAGUUCUCAGCAGCUCUCCGUCUUCCAAUGACUAUAACAAGAGAUGAAAAAAGAAGGAGGAUCAAUGAGGUGCUUGAACUUCUUCAUCUGGAUAAAGAACAAAAUAUCAAGCCUAGAUCCAAGGAACUCAGGAAAAGGACCAGUAUAGCAGUGGAGCUGGUCACUGAGCAUCCCAUUUUGUUCUUGGAUGAUCCCACCACUGGCUUAGACUUGAGAACUACAACUGAUACCAUCGCAGUCCUGAGAAGGAUGUCAAAGAAGGGAAGGACAGUCAUCUUCUCCAUCAAUCAGCCUCAGUACUCCAUCUUCAGAUUCUUUGAUAGCCUCACCUUAGUGGCUUCAGGAAAACUCAUGUUUCAUGGACCUGCACGGGAUGCUCUGGAGUACUUCACAUCUGCAGGUUACCAAUACGAGUCCCACAACAACCCUGCAGACUUCUUCCUGGACGUCAUUAAUGGAGGUUUGUGUGACACAGAGGAAGAUGGCCAUGAAGCUGACGAACAUGAAGAGCUUUAUGAGAGACUACAUCGAGUCACAGAAAAAUUGGCCAAUAUGUAUGCCCAGUCCCCCUUACACAGUGACACAAGAGCCAAACUGGAUCAACUCUUGGGGAAACAGAAGCAGAACAGGAGAUCAGCUAUGGAGACCACAUGUGUCACCCCUUUCUGGCAUCAGUUCGGGUGGAUUACCCUUCGAUCAUUCAAAAAUUUCAAGGGUUUCCCAUGGGUCACUGUGAUUCAGGCAAUUAUUGCGGUCAUACUGGCAGUGUUUGUGGGUGCCAUUUUCCGUCUCCUACAAAAUGUUUGUACCGAAGUCAAGGCAAGAGCUGGGCUGCUCUUCUUUCUCACAGGCUUUGAGUGUAUCUUAAGUAUGUCUGCAGGGGAGCUCUUCCUCCUUGACAGGAAUCACUUUCUACAUGAGCACACCAGUGGAUACUACAGAGUGUCAUCCUAUUUCUUUGGAAAACUGCUGGCUGAGCUAAUACCCAGGAGGCUGUUGCCAAGUAUGAUAUUUACUCUUAUAACAUACAUCAUAGCAGGAAUGAAAACAGGUGUCAAGGGUUUCUUCGUUACAAUAUUUACUGUCAUGAUGUUAGCUGCUUCUGCCAGUUCCCUGUCCCUAUCGUUAGGAGCUGGAGAGAACACAGCUGCUCUACCAACGACUCUCAUAACCAUCUACUUUAUGUUCAUGCUGUUUUUUUCAGGUUUAUCACUAUUUUCCAUAAGCUUCCUGCCUCAGCUCUCAUGGAUUCAGUACCUUAGCAUCCCUCAUUAUGGAUUUAGGGCUUUGCUGCACAAUGAAUUCCUCGGACAAAACUUCUGUCCAGAACACAACACAGAAGAAGUCAGUAGAUGUCAGAACUAUGUAAUAUGCACUGGUGAAGAAUUCUUGCAAAACCUGGACAUUGAUUCCUCAUCCUGGGGCUUCUGGGAGAAUCACCUGGCUUUAACCUGUAUAAUGAUUAUCCUCUUAAUGAUUUCUUAUGUACGAUUGCUACCUCUUAAGAAAAGGAUACAUUGUUAAGCUACCCUUUUUAAAUUUUCUAUAUUUAAAUUUCCAUUUGUUUUCAAGUGUCCUGACAUUGGAAGGAAACUUUUCUUUGUGCUGUAAAUCCAACAAACAAACCUGCAGCUGACAGGGUUUUAGGCCCUAUUGCGGGGACUUUUUACAGUUGUUUAAAGAGAUGUAAUUUCAAACUACCUUCUGAAUGUUUGUAAUUGUAUUCAUGGACAAAUGCUACAUCCAGCAUGACCCACAGAGGAACUCUCUGCUGUGAACUGUGGUGAAUGCAGAGACUCAUGGCUGCUUACAGUACAGGGCUAAAGGACACUCGAGUGCUUAUCUCCAACAGGACACCUAUAGCAUGCCCUCUCCAUCUCAGACCAUUGUGGACUAAGAGUACAAAGAGCACAGGAGCCAAAAGAUGAGAAGAGGGAAUGGAAAUGCAAUAUCGUGGCCAAGCUUCUUAAUAGCUCUUAUACUUCAGUAAGAACUAGGGUCCUGGACUGGAGAGAUGGCUCAGCAGUUAAGAGCACUGACUGCUCUUCCAGAGGUCCUGAGUUCAAUUCUCAGCAACCACAUGGUGGCUCACAACCAUCUGUAAUGAGAUCUGAUGCCCUCUUCCGGUGCUAUUUGGAAAUAGCAACAGUGUACUCAUACAUUAAAUAAAUUCAAAAAAACAAAAAACUAGGGUCCUUGAUUUCCUUAUCUAGAUUCUUGAUUGACUUGUCCAGUGAAUUUUCUAAGUUUCCCAGUUUGCGCAUUUGUUGAUCACAUAACAUUCCUAACAUAAGUGCCCACUGACAAUGGUGGGCUUACACCCUCUUCGUUUAUAUUUUUCCUCUUAUCCAAAUAUUAUACGAGGUUAGUUGGAGCUUGGAAGGUUCCAACUCCUAAAUUUAUAUUUCCUUUGCUGCCUAUGCUGUGAGAGCACACAACCUGUACACAGCCCAGCCCCUUUUGAUUACUGGCUAUAAUCAAAAAUAAAAGCCAAAUUGCCCAGGAGCGUGUUAGCACUAAGCUCUGUGCAGCUGCGCUGGCAUCUAUAGUCUCUUAGCGACUGCAAGAUAUCUGCCCAAAUCCUUUUAGAGUCUCUGUUGAGAAGUUGGGUGUAAUUCGGAUAGGUCUGCCUUUAUAUGUUACUCAGCCUUUCCCCCUUGCAGCUUUUAAUACUUUUAAUUUAAUAUUUUCCCUUUGUUAGCCAUAGUUAAGUGUUUCAAUUAUCAUUUGGUGGGAGAAUUUUCUUUUCUGGCUGAAUUUAUUUCACGUUCUGACUUUUUAUAUUUAUAGGCAUUUCUUUGUGUAAGUUACAGAAAUUUUCUUCUAUGAUAUUGUUGAAAGUAUUUUUAGACCUUUGAGCUGGAAAUCUUCCUCUUCUAUUCAUAUUGCUCUUAGAUUUCACGUUUUCACAGUACACCAGAUUUCCUGGAUGUUUUGUGUCAAGAACGUUUUGCAUUUAACAUUUGCUUUGACAGAUGCACAGAUAUAGAAUUGUAAAUUUUUUCAAUAAAAAUUGCAAAAAUAAAGAGCGUAUAGAGUAAUAAA